AACGAACGCUGGCGGCAUGCCUAACACAUGCAAGUCGAGCGCCCGUAGCAAUACGGGAGCGGCGCACGGGUGAGUAACGCGUGGGAACCUGCCCAGAGGUUCGGGACAACCGCGGGAAACUGCGGCUGAUACCGGAUGAUACCUGAGGGUCAAAGAUUUAUCGCCUUUGGAGGGGCCCGCGUCGGAUUAGGUAGUUGGUGGGGUAACGGCCUACCAAGCCUAUGAUCCGUAACUGGUCUGAGAGGAUGACCAGUCACACUGGGACUGAGACACGGCCCAGACUCCUACGGGAGGCAGCAGUGGGGAGUAUUGGACAAUGGGGGGCAACCCUGAUCCAGCAAUGCCGCGUGGGUGAUGAAGGCCUUCGGGUUGUAAGCCCUUUCGGCGGGACGAUGAUGACGGUACCCGCAGAAGAAGACCCCGGCUAACUUCGUGCCAGCAACCGCGGUAAU
rnacentral:rRNA from 1 species